AGAGUUUGAUCCUGGCUCAGAGCGAACGCUGGCGGCGCGCUUAACACAUGCAAGUCGAACGCGAAAGUCACCUUCGGGUGGCGAGUAGAGUGGCGGACGGGUGAGUACAACGUGGGUAACCUGCCCCUGAAUCGGGAACAACCCUUCGAAAGGAGGGCUAAUACCGGAUAAUACCCAGAGCACAUAAGUGCUUUGGUUCAAAGGAGGCCUCUGUUUCAUGCUUUCGUUUGGGGAGGGGCUCACGCCCCAUUAGCUAGUUGGUGAGGUAACGGCCCACCAAGGCAACGAUGGGUAGCCGACCUGAGAGGGUGAUCGGCCACACUGGGACUGAGACACGGCCCAGACUCCUACGGGAGGCAGCAGUGAGGAAUUUUCCGCAAUGGGCGAAAGCCUGACGGAGCGACGCCGCGUGCGUGAUUAAGGCCUUCGGGUCGUAAAGCGCUGUCGAAGGGGAAGAACUGUACUUUGGCUAAUACCCAUCGUAUUUGACGGUACCCUUCAAGGAAGCCCCGGCUAACUCCGUGCCAGCAGCCGCGGUAAUACGGGGGGGGCAAGCGUUGCUCGGAAUUAUUGGGCGUAAAGGGCUCGUAGGCGGCCCAUCCAGUUGGUUGUGAAAUCCCUCGGCUUAACCGAGGAACUGCGACCAAUACUAGUGGGCUUGAGUGCGGGAGAGGCGAGCGGAAUUCCAUGUGUAGCGGUGAAAUGCGUAGAUAUAUGGAGGAACACCGGUGGCGAAGGCGGCUCGCUGGACCGCAACUGACGCUGAGGAGCGAAAGCUAGGGGAGCAAACAGGAUUAGAUACCCUGGUAGUCCUAGCUGUAAACGAUGGGUACUUGGUGUGGUGGGUGUCGAUCCCCGCCGUGCCGGAGCUAACGCGUUAAGUACCCCGCCUGGGGAGUACGGUCGCAAGUCUGAAACUCAAAGGAAUUGACGGGGGCCCGCACAAGCGGUGGAGCAUGUGGUUUAAUUCGACAACGCGAAGAACCUUACCUGGGUUUGAACUGCAGUGGACCGCCUUAGAGAUAAGGCUUCCCUUCGGGGCUGCUGUAGAGGUGCUGCAUGGCUGUCGUCAGCUCGUGUCGUGAGAUGUUGGGUUAAGUCCCGCAACGAGCGCAACCCUUGCCUGUAGUUACCAGCGAGUAAUGUCGGGGACUCUACGGGGACUGCCGGUGAUAAACCGGAGGAAGGUGGGGAUGACGUCAAGUCCUCAUGGCCUUUAUGUCCAGGGCUACACACGUGCUACAAUGGUCGGUACAAUGUGUUGCGAACUCGCGAGAGUGAGCCAAUCACAAAAAAACCGAUCUCAGUUCGGAUUGGAGUCUGCAACUCGACUCCAUGAAGUUGGAAUCGCUAGUAAUCGCGUAUCAGCAUGACGCGGUGAAUACGUUCCCGGGCCUUGUACACACCGCCCGUCACAUCACGAAAGCUGGCUGUACUAGAAGUCGCUGAGCUAACCCUUCGGGGAUGCAAGUGCCGACGGUAUGGUUGGUGAUUGGGGUGAAGUCGGAACAAGGUA
rnacentral:rRNA from 1 species